rnacentral:rRNA from 1 species
UACGGAGGGUGCAAGCGUUGUCCGGAUUUAUUGGGUUUAAAGGGUGCGUAGGCGGCUCUUUAAGUCAGUGGUGAAAUCCUGCAGCUUGACUGUAGAACAGCCAUUGAUACUGAAGAGCUUGAGUACAGACGAGGUAGGCGGAAUUUAUGGUGUAGCGGUGAAAUGCAUAGAUACCAUAAAGAACCCCUAUUGCGAAGGCAGCUUACUAGGCUGUAACUGACGCUGAGGCACGAAAGCGUGGGGAU